UCCCGCGCAUGCUCUAUGGGGUAGAGACGCUAGGCCGGCACUGCCUAGGUGGGCCGGGCGGUGCGAGGGUCGCCUUUCAGCCUUUACCUCUACCCACUGAAAUGGAGUAGGUCGGUGAGCGCCGAUCUGCUGGAGAAUCUCAUUAUCCCAUCGGCGCUCUGCCUGCUCCUGGCCUCCAAGCCUCUGAAGCCCCUCGGGUUUCAGCUGCCGGCUACCCUCGAGCCCGUGGUGCCCACGAGAGAGGCGACUUUACGUCAGCGGCCCUGGGCUGAGAUUUGAGAACGCGACCAAGUGGAGAAUGUUGGAGCCAGAUUUUAAAAUCCUUGUCUUCCUUCUGCGUGCUACUUGAUCUAAAUGAGAUACGGCAAAGUCACAGAACCUGUUUUUAUGUUUUUGCCUGAUUCAUACGGGCUUCUCCGGUGAAGAUGGGCCUGAAGUAACGCUUGGGUUGCUUCUGACGUUAUAACUCAUCCUGUAGCUGCAGCAACCGUGGUCCUUGCAACCUCAUAAAAAUGUUGCCAGCAUUGUUUCGAUAGUGCUGCUUAAUUCUUGGAAGGUUCUUCGGACUUCACACAUUCCAGCAGUAGCUCUCUCAGCUCCUGUCCUGCACAGCUUUGAAGUGCUGGUGAUGUCAUUGAACUCUUAAGUGCAAGAUGAAACAAGUCUUUCUGGGGUUCUAAGUAGGAAUUGGCUCAUAUGAUUGUGGAGGCUCAGACAUCCCAAAAUCUGCAGCCAGCAAGCAGGAGACCCAGGAGAGCGAAUGUUGUAGCUCCAGUCUGAAGAUCGUCCAGCCUGAGACCCAGGAGGAGCCAAUGUUUCAGUUUGAAUCUGAAGGCAGGAAAAGACUGAUGUACCAGCUCAUGGCAGUCAGGCAGGAGCAGUUCCUCUUACUAGCAGGAAAGUUGGCCUUUUUGUUUUAUUCUGGCCUUCAACUGAUUGGUUCAGGCCCACCCACAUUAAGGAGGGCAACAAUCUGGUUUACUUGGUCUCCUGAUUAAAACAUUAAUCUCAUCCAAAAAUGCUUUCACAGACACACUUAGAGUAAUGUUCAACCAAAUAUCUUGGCACCCUUGGUCCAGUCAAGUUUACAAUAUUAACUGUCACACUGUUAUAAGUCUAGUCUAUGCCUAAUUUUAAGCUUCUAAAACAAUCAACUCAAAGGAAAUUUAACUGAGCUCUAGUGGUCCCGUUUGCUAAAGUAUAACAUUAGUGUUUUAUUCUAAACAAGUUUAGGCUUUUCUCUUUGCUAAGAUAAAUUCACAUUUUUAAGCUUUGAAAAUGCCAUAUAUAUUAUUUAUUUAUUUAUUUAUUUAUUUAUUUAUUUUUGAGGCAGGGUCUCACUGUCUGGCUCAGGUUGGAGUACAGUGGUGUGACCAUGGUUCACUGCAGCUUUGACCUCUCAGGCUCAAGCUGUUCUCCUGCCGCAGCCUCCUGAGUAGCUGGGACUACAGGCUCAUGCCACCACACACUGCUAAUUUUUGUAUUUUUGGUAGAGACGGGAUUUCCCUAUGUUGCCCAGGGUGGUCUUGAACUCCUAGGCUCAAGUGAUCCACCCACCUCAGUCUCCCCAAGUGCUGGGAUUACAGGCGUGAACCACUGUGCCCAGCCAAAAAUGCUAUUCUGUUAAUAGCUUCUUAGAGUUUUUGUUUUUUGUUAUGUGGCCUUAAAGCAGAGCAGAUCCAUGUGUAUAGGGACCAGUCACAAAUACAUUAUAGAGGUUGCCCUCAAACUUCAUUUGUACCUUUCUGGCAUUAGCUUUCUCUUUCAAAUGAUAUAAGGAGGCAGCAGCAUGAUGUCUUUGUUCCCUGACAGAGGGAAAUCUAGGAAUCGGUUAUCUGCCUUCAGAGAAGUCUGGAAUGAGAGUACAAGGAAACUAUGAAUCUCACCACUUUGAGAGCCCAUUUACCAGGAGGAAAUGAAUGAGAAAGAGUAUGAGUUCAGAUCAGCUUGGGAACUAAAGCCAUGGCCAUGCCUGGGAGAAAGGAACUUAAGGUGAAGACAAAAAUCAGUGGGGAAGUAUACACUCUAUUAUCAACAAAAAUCAGAUGAUCAAUUUGUAUUUAUUACAGGACCAGAGUGUACAGAACUGAGUGGCCUUCAAGGCAGCUCAGGGCAUUGAACUCUGCCCUUGAUUCUUUUGGGUGAAGACAUUCAGUGCCACACUACCAGUAUGUAAUGUUUGCACCUGGCAAAAGUGGUGGUCAAGAUCUACCCUGAAUUUACUGAAAAAUGUCUCCUCUUUUCUUUCUCAACUACUGUGGUUAUUAGGCUAUAUUCUUUCAGUACCUUCACACUUUAAGAAUUGUUAAUUAUUCUUGUUUUUUCUGUUAUCAUUUAUACUGAUAAAAUGAAUUAUAAGCCUAAAAUAAAAAAAAAAAAAAAAAAAAAAAAAAAAAA
rnacentral:lncRNA from 1 species